rnacentral:pre_miRNA from 1 species
AUGGGAAUAGCUGGGUCAAAUGGGGUCUCCAUUCCCAGCUUUCCAAGAAAUCUCCAUACUGCUUUCCAAAUUGGCUGCACCAAUCUGCAGUCCCACCAGCAAU